GACGUAGGGGGCGAGCGUUGUCCGGAUUUAUUGGGCGUAAAGCGCGCGUAGGCGGCCGCGCAAGUCGGAUGUGAAAACCCGGGGCUCAACCCCGGGCGUGCAUUCGAUGCUGCGCGGCUCGAGACAGGUAGGGGAGAUCGGAAUUCCUGGUGUAGCGGUGAAAUGCGCAGAUAUCAGGAGGAACACCGGUGGCGAAGGCGGAUCUCUGGGCCUGUUCUGACGCUGAGGCGCGAAAGCUAGGGGAGCGAACAGG
rnacentral:rRNA from 1 species